GUGGGCUACGGGGUUGCUGCUCCCCUCUUUUCCACGGCUGCCUGCCUCUGAGACCACUGUAGCUUACCCAGAGUGUUUGUUAGUAUUUGCCAUAGGGGAAAGGCUGUCUUCUUGCUGUCUGUGUGUACAGAGCCUAGUGUGAUGGGGCCCUGAUUCAGGGUCCCAGGCAGGGACCAAAGCCCCCGCAUGCUGGGUGACUAUACAAAACACAGCAAGAAGACAGAGUCCAUGCAAGGAGCUCACAGUCUGCAUAGAGAAGAACUGGUGUGGAAACAGGCAGAGCGGAUGAUUCUGAACAGUUUUGGCUUGAGGAGCCAUUCUAAUUGGGCGAGCAUCACCUGUGUCAAUGGAGUGGUACGCCUGUUCUGUCUGUCCUGGGAUGGCUGAAAACAUUGAUGCGAAGCUGGUGCAGAGCUCCUGGAUUUGCUGUUGCUGCUUAUGCCUAAGGGUCUUGGAAAGUCUCACCUCUUCCACGCCACUGUUGCUUUUUCUGUCAUAGUAGACUCCUUCAGACCAUUCAGCAUCAUCUCUCUCCUGGGCUAUAAACUGGAGAACCUUGAUUUCUCGGGAAUAAAAGGGCUUUAGAGAA